AAAUAAACCUGAUAAAGCGGAAAACCCACAGCGAGGUACGAGCGAGGAUUGAAGCGAUAGCAGGAUUUUUG
rnacentral:sRNA from 1 species